UACGUAGGGUGCAAGCGUUAAUCGGAAUUACUGGGCGUAAAGCGUGCGCAGGCGGUCUUGCAAGACAGAUGGGAAAUCCCCGGGCUCAACCUGGGAACUGCAUUUGUGACUGCAAGGCUGGAGUACGGUAGAGGGGGAUGGAAUUCUGCGUGUAGCAGUGAAAUGCGUAGAUAUGCGGAGGAACACCGAUGGCGAAGGCAAUCCCCUGGACCUGUACUGACGCUCAUGCACGAAAGCGUGGGGAGCAAACAGG
rnacentral:rRNA from 1 species